rnacentral:tRNA from 1 species
GCCUGGGUGGCUCAGUCAGUUGGGCAUCUGACUUCGGCUCAGGUCAUGAUCUCACAGUUUGUGGGUUCGAGCCCUGCAUCAGGCU